CAAACGGUUUUCCGCCUGACGGGUUCAUUCCGCUUCGAAUUCCGCUUCGAAAAUUGUUUCGAAGUUUUCUAAACGGAAUCUCCGGUUGGACUCCGCUUCGAUUCCGUUUAAUCAUUUUUGCACUAGGGCGACACCUACUGGUGUGCGGUGGAACCUCGAUGACAUUUCGCCGCGAUUCGCCAAAGCGGUUUUGGGUCUCGUCACAACUCAGGACGGUGAAGGAUCCGGGCAUUCCGGGUUAAUUUUGGUCCGUUUCUUGCGUAAAAAUGGUUCCCUUUUCAGUGGUCCUUCGCCCAAAAUCCUCUUGUUUGCAUGGUUGCACUUUUUCUUUUCUCCAGCUGGAGGAGGAAGGCGACGCGGACUUUUUUUUGGGGCUGAAUUAUUGCUGCUGAUUCUUAGGAGAGAGCUGCCCCCAGUACGCCCCAGUAGGACGAAAAGGAAACUACUUCCAGUUGAUUUAGAAUCGGCGAGUGUCCGGUAGCUGGUGGCGGCCACUGCCUUACAGGAAUAAGGCCACGCUCCAGAUUUUUACUAUAUCAAUCGUCAAAUCCGAUAGCGUUGGAUCGCCAGCACCACGAUGACCACCACCGCAGUCGGUUGAUGGCAAGGUCGCGAUGAUCAGGCCGUUGCUGGGAAACCUGCUGCAGAACGAGAGCGCCAGUACACAUAAGUCCGGCAGCUGAAGAACCAAAACCCAGCGGAUCCAAGAUCCGGAAAAGGACCAGCUGCCUGAUGCAAACCAAAUAGCGAAACUCCGCGGAACGACUAGAUUCUGCCAGCCAAAAAGAAUGGAAUGUCGAAAUUGAAGGUCGUGGAGCUGCGGGAGAAGGCCGAUCGGUCAACUCGCGGUUGCCUCAAUGAGCGAGGUCGAAUGGAGGUGGUGCAGAUGACGAAGAUUGGAGCCGAUGAUUGUGACCCGGUUCUGCGAGUGGGUGGUGACUCCGGAAUGUAACCGAGACGGUAGAAAAGAUCGCAUCACUUUGGUCACUACUUUUAUUGUAAAAUCUUUUAUAUGAGAUUAAAACUAACUAUGGGAUUUAUGUGGUUUGGGGCUUUGUUUUCAUUGUUUGCAUUUUAAAUAAAAAAUUUUAAACCUUAAAAACACUCA